rnacentral:rRNA from 1 species
UAAUAGUGAGUUAACUUGUUGUUAAGGAUUGAGUUGAGUAAAGAAUUAAAUUAAUAAAAGCAUUUUUAUUAAUUGUUAUUGAGUUUUAGUGUCGGUUAGAGAAAAAAUUUAUUGAGUUAUAGAUAUAAUAUUGUACCGUAGGGGAAUAUUUGAAAUAGUAAAUUCAAUUUGGUUUAAGUAGUUUUAUUUUGGCGUACCUUUUGUAUCAGGGUUAAUUAAAAUUUUUAUAAAGAUUUGUGGUGUUCUCGAUUUGAAAAGGGUAAAUUCAUUUUUGAAAGUUAAUGUGGAAUAAUUAUUUGUAAAGAUGAGUUGGAAGUGAAAUGCUAUUCGGUUUUCAAGAUAUCUAGUUUCUUAAGAAAUGAAUUUAAUUCAGUUAUUUAUUUAUUAUGUGAAUAUUUAUAAAUUAUUCUGUGGAUUAAAUAAUAAUAAUAUGGGGGAUAAGCUUCAGGUUAAUCUUAGAAUUUUUCUUUUUAUAGAGUUAUUUAGGCUUAGAAGUAGCCAUAAUUAAAAAAGUGUUAUAAUUUAAUUUUAUCAAAAAAUAAUUUUGUAUAAUUUAAAUAUGAUAUUAAGAUAAUAUAUUUAAUAGUAAAGUGUUGGCGAUAAUGAUUGAAUUAGUAUAAUUUUAUUAAGUGUUACAUUAGGGAUAUUGUGUAUAGGUUAAUAUAAGGAACUAGGCAAAAUAAAUAUUCGCCUGUUUAACAAAAACAUGUCCUUUAGGUUAUAAUUUAAGGUCUAACCUGCCCACUGAUUAAUAAUUAAAGGGCCGCGGUAUUAUGACCGUGCAAAGGUAGCAUAAUCAUUAGUCUUUUAAUUGGAGGCUAGAAUGAAUGGUUGGACGAGAUAUUGGCUGUCUCAUUUUGAAUGUUUUUAGAAUUUAACUUUUAAGUGAAAAGGCUUAAAUGAAUUUGAAGGACGAGAAGACCCUAUAGAUCUUUAUAUUGAGGGGAUCAAAAAUAGUUUGGAAUUGAUAGAAUUUUUGGUGAAUUUAAUAUUUUAUUGGGGUGAUAGGAAGAUACAAAUAACUCUUUUUGACAAUUACAUUAAUUUGUGGAUAUAGGAUCCAUAUUUGGUGAUUAUAAGACUAAGUUACCUUAGGGAUAACAGCGUAAUCUUUUUAGAGAGUUCUUAUCGACAAAAAGGGUUGCGACCUCGAUGUUGGAUUAAGGUAAUAUUUGGGUGCAGAAGCUUGAGUUUUAGGUCUGUUCGACCUUUAAAUCCUUACAUGAUCUGAGUUCAGACCGGCGUGAGCCAGGUCGGUUUCUAUCUUUAAAAGUUUAAUAAUAUUUUAGUACGAGAGGACCAGAUAUUGCAAUGAUUUUGUUCUAAUAAGGAAUAAAAAUAACUU